rnacentral:lncRNA from 10 species
UGCAUUCUAUUAAUGUGAAAUCCACUCUGGCUUUCUUGGCACAAACCCAGGAGUGGCAUGGCUGGGCCCUACGGUAGCUCCGUGCUUAACCUUUUGGGGACCUGCCAGACUGUCUUCUGCAGCAAGUGAACCAUUUCACGUUCUCACCAGCCGUAAAGGGGAAAGUCUGGGAGGCUCCCGAGACAAGACCAUGGUUUCUUCGUGCUCACAUCUUCAACCUCCAGCAGGUACUCCAAAAUUUUCCACCAGUGCCUGCGUGCCAAGGUGGCUUCCAAAGAGAGAGCAAAUCAAGCCUGGCCACAGGGGACCAGGGCACUUCCCAGAACAGUCCUCUCCCUGGUGGGAUCCUUUUGUUCCCUGGAAAAGCCAACCCCCCUUAAUCCUGGGUAGUUUUACCUACCCACAGGCUUGAAUUACAUCCUAACAAACAGUAAACCACACUUGCUGGGACUCCGUGGGCCCGAGGGCUGCUUAACAGCUUGGCAGGCAUCCCCGGCAGCCACUGUGACCCAGCUGCCCUACAGGCCAUUCCAAGCUCCCCCAACAAGGGCACUUUUCAGGUGAACUCAUACAAAUGUGUGCCGAGCGAUACCCCUGACUUGGAGGGGACUCCAGCUGAGGUCAGCCCUGGAGCAGGCCCCCCACGCCCUAUGGAUACUUCCAAGCCCAACUUAGCAAAUACAGCUGGAGGCGUCCAACCUCACCCAGUUGUUCAAGGAGGGACCUUGCCCCUUCCUUUGCCUUUAAGGAUGAACAGAUUUUUUUUCUACUUAGAAACUCAAUGUGUUCCUCUUCUAUCCUAAACACUACUGAUGUUCGGUAAUGCAGACAUGUUUACAUGCUAUUUCUUGUUUUAACAACAUGAAAACAAAAUAAAAAUGAACUAUGAACUGAU